GAUGAACGCUAGCGGGAGGCUUAACACAUGCAAGUCGUGGGGCAGCAUUAGGUAGCAAUACUUAGAUGGCGACCGGCGCACGGGUGAGUAACGCGUAUGCAACCUACCCAGUACAGGGGGAUAGCCCGGAGAAAUUCGGAUUAAUACCCCAUAAUGAUAUAUAGAGGCAUCUUUUUAUAUUUAAAGCUUCGGCGGUACUGGAUGGGCAUGCGUAAGAUUAGCUAGUUGGUAGGGUAACGGCCUACCAAGGCUCCGAUCUUUAGGGGUCCUGAGAGGGUGAUCCCCCACACUGGUACUGAGAAACGGACCAGACUCCUACGGGAGGCAGCGGUGAGGAAUAUUGGUCAAUGGGCGCAAGCCUGAACCAGCCAUCCCGCGUGAAGGAAGAAUGCGCUAUGCGUUGUAAACUUCUUUUCCGGAGGAAUAAAAUCUUGUACGCGUACAGGACUGAAGGUACUCCGGGAAUAAGCAUCGGCUAACUCCGUGCCAGCAGCCGCGGUAAAAC
rnacentral:rRNA from 1 species